rnacentral:ncRNA from 2 species
CAAACCAAGGGAGAUGGCAUUCCUCCCGGGCCGUGCCCAAUCGCCGCAAGGCUGAUGAUGCCUAUCGAACG